GGGACACACCAUAAGGGAGGGAAAAGCUGCUGCAAAACUUGCAAGCCGUAGCUUGGAUCCCAUCGUGCUGCUCACAGACAGCUGAUGCGCAGCGCUCGGGCUACUGGGAUCCAGAUCCCUCUCUCAUGUUAUGCUGUGUUGAAGCCUCUAGGACAACAUUUUGGCCUGGAUUCAGGAAGCCUGUUAAGGAUUGCAGCCCGGAGAGGUUGGAGGCCAGGAUGGGCGAGAUGGAGCUGGGCUGGGAACAGCCCUGUGGUGAGGUUGCAGGAGGCUGCAGGACCUUCCCAGCAGGACAACCUCUGUGUCUGUCCGGCCCUCCAUCCAGCCCUGCUGUGUCCCGAGGGCUGCAGGAGACAUGAGCUCACUGCUGAGACGUGCCAAACCAAGCCCGCCCGGCGAGGCUGCUCCCAGCUCCACGCUGACAUCUGCCAGAGAUUUCCAGCACUGCUGUCUCGCUGCUUCUCUGCAGAACGCAGCCCCUGAGCGUCCCAACAUCCUGCUCCUCCUCUGGGCCAGAGGCAUCCACAUCUACAUCCCCAUCGCUAUCCCAAUCCACAUCCCCAUCCCCACCUGCAUCCCCAUCCCCGCCCACAUCAGCAUCCUAACACCUGAACUGGUUGCCAUAGAAACCACAGGUCUGUCUGUCUGCCCGUGCCAGGGGUCAAUGCGCUGCUCCCCCUGGCUCAGCUAUUUGUGGUCCACAAACAGGGAAACAGGGGCACGCUGGAGGCAUGGAGCAUCCACACAAGGAGGACGGUGCAUCCUGGGAGUGAAUGGGAAAGUGUAGCUCUGCCAGAAGUUAUAGCAUCUGGGACAUCAACGUGAGCAGAGGGCGAAAGCUGGGAAUCAUUACAUGGCACAACAGAAGGCAAAACAUUCACCUGGAGAAGGCAAUUAGCUCAGCAGGUCUUUUAGUGUCAUUAAGGGAUUAUUGUCCUGUUAUUACAUGUCCCAUCAUUAAGGGAUUAUUGUCUCAGUGGUUCCUUGACCUCCUGGGCAUGGCUGGAUGGUGUCACAUCAGACCCCAUAGAAGGUGUUGUUAGGGUGGGUGGGGUAGUGUGAGUUGUCCUCUCUUUCAGAGACCACCAGCAAGGCAAAUUGUUGCGUUAGGGAUGUGACCAAUUGGUUUGGAGGUGUCCAAGGCCAAGUUGAAUGGGAAACCUCAUCCAGUGCUUGAUGAGCAGUCUGCAACCCUGCCUACGGCAUGGAGAUUGGAAGUGGACAGUCUCUGGGGUCCCUUCCAACACAAGCCAUUCUAUGAUUUCUUGCCCACGUGGUCCUAUGGGCAUCCCAGUGACCAUAUAUAGCCAACUCUCUGCUCUCCACCUCCUAUAAAAGAUGCUGGCUGCUGGUUUCCGUGCUGCCAGCCGUCCCGGAGCUGUGCGUUCUGCAUUUCCCUUUUAGGAAGCAAGAUUCUUGGACAUGGGGCAGUAAAAAGAAAACAUCUCUCAGCUCUUAUUUAUCACCUCUCCUUAUAACUGACCACUCUCUAAAUAGAGGGACCGCUUGCAGCCCAGGAGUGCAGCACAACGGAGCCAGAGGUGCCUUUGGCCCCUGCUGUCCUGGAUGGACUUCCAUGCAGAUCUCCCCACCUCGCUGCUAUUUAUGGGGUCAGCUCCAGGCAAGGAACCCAGCUGAAGUCCUGGUGCUUACUGCUCACCGGCCAAGCCAAACAGCGGAGUGAUGCAAUAUUGCACAAACUUUCCAGCCAGGGAAAUUAAUCUUUGCAAUAGAGG
ensembl:lncRNA